UGUUUGGUUUAGGGAUCCUUAUACAAUCAACUACUUACUUUUACUUGAUCCUGCAUUGCACAAGGUUAGUCUCUCAUCACCGACAUGUUAACAAAAGUUACCUCUUCUUUUUUACAAGAAAAAAAUUGUUGCAUCUUCCUUGGCUGCUUCUUGAUUUCUUUCUUUAUUUGCUUAUGCUCCAUCUUUGCAAAAUGACGAUUAUAUAUGUUUAAUGAUUUGAAAACCUGUGACUCAAUAACAGAAUGAAAGUUUCACAUGCCAAGCGACUGUUGUUGGAUUUGAUUUAGGCAGGGGCUGGUGGUACAAGCUGUCCAUCCUGCCAUAAAGCUGUUAAAAACACAUCUGGAUCGUUUGAGUGCAAUGAACAUGGUUUAUUGAAUAUUUACCCGAACCAUGGUUCAAAAUUGAUGUUAUUGUGGAAGAUAAGACGAAUCAACACAAUUUCCUCAUAAUAGGAAGGCAUGCAGAAAAAGUAGUUCGUGUUUCUUGCCACACUUUGGUGAUGCAAGAAGGAUAUGAGGAUCCUUUUGUGGCGCCACCAAUUCUUGCAAAUUUGAUUGGCCAAUAAAAAACAUUUCAAGUCUCUUUUGGAAAUCAGAACAUCAAUUUCGGAAAGACAGAUUUCAUCGUUCACGGAUUGCUUGAAGAUAAAGCACUGUCCGAGCCAGCAAUCCCCUCAAUCAAACCACAAACGCCCGCUCCCACCAUAGCAAAAACAAUUAUCAAUCAAGUCACUCCAGCCCUAUUCACGCCUUCCCAACCAUUGGAUCAACAACUCCGAUCAAUUGCAGCCACUAAGACUUCGAAAAAAAACGUUGUUCCCUGAUCAACCAUUCACAUCUGCCAGGUAACUUUUCCUUCCGACUAAUGCUCUCAUCUGUCAAUCUUAUUAACCGUACUUCCUUCUCUUGGUUAUAUGUUUGCAAUCAUCAAAAGGUGUCCACCACUCUUUCACUCUUUUCCAUAACUAUCAUGAUUAUCUUUACCCUUAUCAAUUUUGCCUU